GAUGAGCGCUGGCGGCGUGCCUAAUACAUACAAGUCGAGCGAACGGACGAGAAGCUUGCUUCUCUGAUGUUAGCGGCGGACGGGUGAGUAACACGUGGAUAACCUACCUAUAAGACUGGGAUAACUUCGGGAAACCGUAGCUAAUACCGGAUAAUAUUUUGAACCGCAUGGUUCAAAAGUGAAAGACGGUCUUGCUGUCACUUAUAGAUGGAUCCGCGCUGCAUUAGCUAGUUGGUAAGGCAACGGCUUACCAAGGCAACGAUGCAUAGCCGACCUGAGAGGGUGAUCGGCCACACUGGAACUGAGACACGGUCCAGACUCCUACGGGAGGCAGCAGUAGGGAAUCUUCCGCAAUGGGCGAAAGCCUGACGGAGCAACGCCGCGUGAGUGAUGAAGGUCUUCGGAUCGUAAAACUCUGUUAUUAGGGAAGAACAUAUGUGUAAGUAACUGUGCACAUCUUGACGGUACCUAAUCAGAAAGCCACGGCUAACUACGUG
rnacentral:rRNA from 1 species